UACGUAGGUCGCAAGCGUUGUCCGGAUUUACUGGGCGUAAGGAGCGCGCAGGCGGCUGGUCAAGUCCGAUGUGAAAUCUCCCGGCUCAACUGGGAAACUGCAUCGGAAACUGAUCGGCUUGAAGAUGGGAGAGGGUAGUGGAAUUCCCGGUGUAGUGGUGAAAUGCGUAGAUAUCGGGAGGAACACCAGUGGCGAAGGCGACUACCUGGCCCAUUCUUGACGCUGAGGCGCGAAGGCCAGGGGAGCAAACGGG
rnacentral:rRNA from 1 species